rnacentral:ncRNA from 2 species
CUCUUAUCAUGAGAAGGCUGAGGGAAUUGGACCGAUGACGCCCGGCAACCGGCUUGUUUAAGCAAUGGUGCUACUUCCAACAGAAUGAUACGUCAUUCUGAGAGAUGAGAG